rnacentral:rRNA from 1 species
GAUGAACGCUGGCGGCGUGCUUAACACAUGCAAGUCGAACGAAGCACUCUUUCUAAAGCUUUCGGGUGGAAGAGAGAAUGACUGAGUGGCGGACGGGUGAGUAACGCGUGGGUAACCUGCCUCAUACAGGGGGAUAACAGUUGGAAACGACUGCUAACACCGCAUGAGCCUCCAGAACCGCAUGGUUCCGAAGGAAAAUAUUAAUAGGUAUGAGAUGGACCCGCGUCUGAUUAGCUAGUUGGUAGGGUAACGGCCUACCAAGGCGACGAUCAGUAGCCGGCUUGAGAGAGUGAACGGCCACAUUGGGACUGAGACACGGCCCAAACUCCUACGGGAGGCAGCAGUGGGGAAUAUUGCACAAUGGGGGAAACCCUGAUGCAGCGACGCCGCGUGAGUGAAGAAGUAUUUCGGUAUGUAAAGCUCUAUCAGUAGGGAAGAAGAAUGACGGUACCUAACUAAGAAGCCCCGGCUAACUACGUGCCAGCCGCCGCAGUAACAC